GAUGAACGCUGGCGGCGUGCUUAACACAUGCAAGUCGAACGGAAAGGCUCCUGCUUGCAGGGGUACUCGAGUGGCGAACGGGUGAGUAACACGUGGGUGAUCUGCCCUGCACUUCGGGAUAAGCCUGGGAAACUGGGUCUAAUACCGGAUAGGACGUCGGGUUGCAUGGUGUUGUGGAGAGUUUUUCGGUGUGGGGUGAUCUCGCGGCCUAUCAGCUUGUUGGUGGGGUAAUGGCCUACCAAGGCGUCGACGGGUAGCCGGCCUGAGAGGGUGUACGGCCACAUUGGGACUGAGAUACGGCCCAGACUCCUACGGGAGGCAGCAGUGGGGAAUAUUGCACAAUGGGCGGAAGCCUGAUGCAGCGACGCCGCGUGGGGGAUGACGGCCUUCGGGUUGUAAACUGCUUUCGCUAGGGACGAAGCGCGAGUGACGGUACCUGGAGAAGAAGCACCGGCUAACUACGUG
rnacentral:rRNA from 1 species